AGUUGCUCUAAAAAAUAAGGUGGCUGAGGAAGAUGUAGACAAGGGGAAUGUAGGACUUGGGUGCACCCUAAGAAGGAAGCAUGCUGAGGCGUCGGAGAGGUUGCAGGUGGUACUGCAGCAGUACAAGACUGCUUUAGGUCCUGAUGCUUCUUUCCUUCAACAUGAAGAGGAAAGUCAAAGUGGCCUAAGCAGUCCAGACACCAGUGAGGAUGAAGAAGGAAACAUCAUUUAGAUUGCUGCUGCUCUCAAGCACGAAUAUCCGCCAAGACUUGAUGUGCUAUCAGAAAUGUAAAUACUUUACUGACUUUAUAUUUAGAGAUUGUAUUCAUACUCCUCAAUGGAAGAUCACCCUUGAAUAUGUUGACCAUAUGACUUUUCCCUAUGCCGCAGCAUCAGGCCAAACAUUUCACUUGUACACAACUUAAAUGUUAUUGAACAAAAUGCUCAGCGUCCCUGGAAUGCAUCCUGAGCAAUGAACCAUUCACUUUUGAUC